AGGACGAACGCUGGCGGCGUGCCUAACACAUGCAAGUCGAACGAGGUUCAGUCAGUAGCAAUACUGACGAAGACCUAGUGGCGAACGGGUGAGUAGCACGUGAGCAACCUACCCCGAAGACCGGGACAACACCGGGAAACCGGUGCUAAUACCGGAUAUCCCCAUCGAGUCGCAUGGCUUGAUGAGGAAAUGGAUUCCGCUUCGGGAGGGGCUCGCGGCCUAUCAGCUUGUUGGUGAGGUAACGGCUCACCAAGGCUUCGACGGGUAGCUGGUCUGAGAGGACGAUCAGCCACACUGGGACUGAGACACGGCCCAGACUCCUACGGGAGGCAGCAGUGGGGAAUCUUGCACAAUGGGCGAAAGCCUGAUGCAGCAACGCCGCGUGAGGGACGAAGGCUUUCUGAGUUGUAAACCUCUUUCAGCAGGGACGAUUGUGACGGUACCUGCAGAAGAGCCCGGCAACUACGUGCCAGCAGCCGCGGUAAU
rnacentral:rRNA from 1 species